ACGGGAGGCAGCAGUGGGGAAUAUUGCACAAUGGGGGGAACCCUGAUGCAGCGACGCCGCGUGAGUGAAGAAGUAUUUCGGUAUGUAAAGCUCUAUCAGCAGGGAAGAAGAAAGACGGUACCUGACUAAGAAGCACCGGCUAAAUACGUGCCAGCAGCCGCGGUAAUACGUAUGGUGCAAGCGUUAUCCGGAUUUACUGGGUGUAAAGGGAGCGUAGGUGGUCUGGCAAGCCAGAAGUGAAAGCCCGGGGCUUAACCGCGGGACUGCUUUUGGAACUGUUGGACUGGAGUGCAGGAGGGGUAAGCGGAAUUCCUGGUGUAGCGGUGAAAUGCGUAGAUAUCAGGAGGAACACCGGUGGCGAAGGCGGCUUACUGGACUGUAACUGACACUGAGGCUCGAAAGCGUGGGGAGCAAACAGGAUUAGAUACCCUGGUA
rnacentral:rRNA from 1 species